UGAGGCUUCCUCCUAUGGAGAGGCAGGAGCCCAGAGUUGGGGAUCAGUGUGCUAUCACCUGCUGCAGAGGAGGAGGGAGCCAGGACUGAGGUCAGGGCACUGUAACCUGCUGUAGAGGAUGAAGCCCCAUGUUGGGUUAGGGCACUGUCACUGACCCAUGCUGGGACCCUGUACAGGUCCCUGAACACAUGCUGUUCUCCAGUGUCUGAAGCAGGUGCCCUCCCAACCUUGGCCACCCCUGAGGUCACCUGGGCUGCUGUUGGCAGUUCCCAGCAGGCUGACAGCCUCCUGCCUGGAAGCCCUGCUGCUUUCAGGAUCUCCACCCCUACAACCCUUUCCCAAUGGGGCUGGGGCUGUGGCUCCAUUGCCCUCCUUCCCCAUCCUCCUUCAGGCCGGUGCGGAGGUGUGCUCCCCACAGCGUCCCCAGCCCUGCCCCCCACAGACCUGGCCCGCUUCUUGUUCCUCUGUAUUGUUUUCUCCCUCCCCACUCCUUCCCCCUUUCUGGAAACAUCUCCCAACAAACUACCUGCCCCCCGAAUCUUUGCCUCGCCACUGACUUCUGCAAGAACAUACAUGAAGAUGGGCCCUUUGCUGCUGCCUGUCUGGGACUCAGGGGUCCUUUCUGGGGGUGGGUAGGCGGCAGUGUCAGGGAAAGUGAUUUCUUCUUGGAAGGGAUUUGGGGUUCUCCUGCAUGAAGCUUUGUGUGUAUGUGUAUGAGUAUAUGUGUGUGUAAGUGUAUAUACGGGUGUGUAUAUCUGUAUGAGUGUGUAUGUGGGCAUGUAUGCAUGUGUAUACAUAUGUGAGUGUAUGUGUGUUCACUUGUGUAUGCUACUGUGUAGGCAUGUUUACUGCAUGUGCAUGUAUAUAUGCAUGUAUGUGAGUGCAUGUGUGUUGUGUGUGCAUCUAUGUGUAUGCAUGUGGUGUGUGCGGGUGCAUGUGUGAUGUGCACAUAUGUGUGCGUGUUAUGUGUGUGUGUGCAUGCACAUUUGAAAUGACCUCAGGUUUCUCUUUUGCCCGCAGGGCUCUACUUUGUUGCCCAGAAGGGCACACGUGCACAGUGUCGAUCAAUCACGCUCUCCCUUCCUCUGUUUAGGUUUUUGGAUUGCAAGGGGUUUCCAGGGGCAUGUAUGACGGUCCUGUGUACGAGGUACCAGCUACACCCAAAUAUGCAACUCCUGCUCCUUCAGCCAAAUCUUCGCCUUCUAAACACCAGCCCCCACCCAUCAGAAACCUCCACCAGUCCAACUUCAGCUUAUCAGGUGCCCAGAUAGAUGACAACAAUCCCAGGCGCACCGGCCACCGCAUCGUGGCGCCCCCUGGUGGCCGCUCCAACAUCACCAGCCUCGGUUGAACGCGGAUGCGCGGAGGAGCUAGCCUGAAGGAUUCUGGGAAUCAUGUCCAUCCCUUUUCCUGUCAGUGUUUUUGAAACCCACAGUUUUAGUUGGUGCUGAUGGAGGGAGGGGGAAGUCGAAGGAUGCUCUUUCCCUUUUCUGUUUAGGAAGAAGUGGUACUAGUGUGGUGUGUUUGCUUGGAAAUUCCUUGCCCCACAGUUGUGUUCAUGCUGAAUCCACCUCGGAGCAUGGUGUUUUCAUUCCCCCUUCCUAGUGAACCACAGGUUUUAGCAUUGUCUUGUUCUGUCCCUUCCACUUCUAACUCCACUGGCUCCAUGAUUCUCUGAGUGGUGGUUCCUUUGCACCCUGUAGAUGUUCUAGGAUAGUUGAUGCAUGUUACUAAAUUACGUAUGCAAGUCUGUGAGUGCGUCUGAGGGGACAUCGCCAAGGACUGACUGAGACACGAUGCCGAGACCUCAAGCCCUGAGGGGCAGUCCCAAAACUCUUACAGUGAAGAUGUUUACUCAUUGCCCCCACCUCUGGUCCACACUAGAAAGAAGCUCACCCCACCUCCACCUGUGAGAUCCGUGAAUUCUCAGAAUGGCAGGGGAAGCCUUGCACUAGGUUGCAGAGAAGCAUCCUCCACAUCCUGUGUCAGAAACCCUGGUCUCCGUGGCACUUGUAACUCACCGUGCUGUCUUCUGGUCUGUGUGUGUUCUUCAAGCCAGCUCUAGGCUUCAGGCCGAGCCAGGUUCACACUCAGAAAGAGGUCUCCCCAUCCCCAUUUGGGGCUGCCGAUGGGGGGGUGAUGGCUGCCCCUGGGUGGCCUGAGUCCUGCUCCCUCUGAGGCAGUUGACGGGGCAGUCAGAUUUUUAAAGUUUUGUACAAAGUUUUCCUUUGUAAUCACUCCCAUUUUUACUUAACAACCAACUUGUUGUGGCUCUUAUUUCUGAAUUCAAAGCUUGUGAAAAAAUAAAGAAAAUGAACUGCCCACUG
rnacentral:sRNA from 1 species